AUACUGGAUAUAGUGUAGUAAAGCAUAGAAGUUAAUUAU
rnacentral:guide_RNA from 1 species